UACGGAGGAUCCAAGCGUAAUCCGGAUUUAUUGGGUUUAAAGGGUGCGUAGGCGGGCUGGCAAGUCAGUGGUGAAAUCCUGCAGCUUAACUGUAGAAUUGCCGUUGAUACUGCUAGUCUUGAAUAUAGUUGAGGUGGAUGGAAUGUAUCAUGUAGCGGUGAAAUGCUUAGAUAUGAUACAGAACACCGAUCGCGUAGGCAGUUCACCAAACUACUAUUGACGCUGAGGCACGAAAGCAUGGGGAGCAAACAGG
rnacentral:rRNA from 1 species